ensembl:lncRNA
GUAAUAAGGAGAACUCUGUUUUCUGAGGUUCUAAAAAAAAAAGUGUCAUUGAAUCAUGAGUUCUUCUUGUAGUUUUCUCUGGAUUACUUUUCCAAGGACAGUAUUUGUAUUUCAAGUUAGUCAAGGGAAGUGUCUCUUUUCUACUGACGAUAUCCUAGCGUGAUGUAAUCUCCUCUUCAACUUCACUAUUGUUUAUAGUUUGUUUUUGAUGUUGUUGAUGUGACUUGAUGCUUGGAGGGAAUUCCUCAGAUUCCCC